GCCUUUGUCUCCAUCGUCGUCGGGUACGGGAGCAUCACUGCCAUCGCGCACGAUCACCACCGUCAAUCCACCAUUGGAGCAUUGCCCCAGCUCUGUUCUUGACACUGGCGAGCUCGGACACAAGAAGGCCACUCUCACCAGGCUCAAGUCUGGUGUCGAACGUGUCUUCGCUUCCAUCGACGUCUACGACCAAGGAUCUGCGUGAUUGGUAAGCAUGAAAACAGUGGCCCUUUUGU